UAAUACAUGCAAGUCGAACGCUUCUUUUUCCACCGGAGCUUGCUCCACCGGAAAAAGAGGAGUGGCGAACGGGUGAGUAACACGUGGGUAACCUGCCCAUCAGAAGGGGAUAACACUUGGAAACAGGUGCUAAUACCGUAUAACAAUCCAAACCGCAUGGUUUUGAUUUGAAAGGCGCUUUCGGGUGUCGCUGAUGGAUGGACCCGCGGUGCAUUAGCUAGUUGGUGAGGUAACGGCUCACCAAGGCCACGAUGCAUAGCCGACCUGAGAGGGUGAUCGGCCACAUUGGGACUGAGACACGGCCCAAACUCCUACGGGAGGCAGCAGUAGGGAAUCUUCGGCAAUGGACGAAAGUCUGACCGAGCAACGCCGCGUGAGUGAAGAAGGUUUUCGGAUCGUAAAACUCUGUUGUUAGAGAAGAACAAGGAUGAGAGUAACUG
rnacentral:rRNA from 1 species